AAGUCGAGCGGUAGCACAGAGAGCUUGCUCUCGGGUGACGAGUGGCGGACGGGUGAGUAAUGUCUGGGAAACUGCCUGAUGGAGGGGGAUAACUACUGGAAACGGUAGCUAAUACCGCAUAACGUCGCAAGACCAAAGAGGGGGACCUUCGGGCCUCUUGCCAUCAGAUGUGCCCAGAUGGGAUUAGCUAGUAGGUGGGGUAACGGCUCACCUAGGCGACGAUCCCUAGCUGGUCUGAGAGGAUGACCAGCCACACUGGAACUGAGACACGGUCCAGACUCCUACGGGAGGCAGCAGUGGGGAAUAUUGCACAAUGGGCGCAAGCCUGAUGCAGCCAUGCCGCGUGUAUGAAGAAGGCCUUCGGGUUGUAAAGUACUUUCAGCGGGGAGGAAGGUGUUGUGGUUAAUAACCNCANCAAUUGACGUUACCCGCAGAAGAAGCACCGGCUAACUCCGUGCCAGCAGCCGCGGUAAUACGGAGGGUGCAAGCGUUAAUCGGAAUUACUGGGCGUAAAGCGCACGCAGGCGGUCUGUCAAGUCGGAUGUGAAAUCCCCGGGCUCAACCUGGGAACUGCAUUCGAAACUGGCAGGCUAGAGUCUU
rnacentral:rRNA from 1 species